rnacentral:rRNA from 1 species
GAUGAACGCUGGCGGCGUGCCUAAUACAUGCAAGUCGAGCGAACAGAUAAGGAGCUUGCUCCUUUGACGUUAGCGGCGGACGGGUGAGUAACACGUGGGUAACCUACCUAUAAGGCUGGAAUAACUCCGGGAAACCGGGGCUAAUGCCGGAUAACAUUUAGAACCGCAUGGUUCUAAAGUGAAAGAUGGUUUUGCUAUCACUUAUAGAUGGACCCGCGCCGUAUUAGCUAGUUGGUAAGGUAACGGCUUACCAAGGCAACGAUACGUAGCCGACCUGAGAGGGUGAUCGGCCACACUGGAACUGAGACACGGUCCAGACUCCUACGGGGGGCAGCAGUAGGGAAUCUUCCGCAAUGGGCGAAAGCCUGACGGAGCAACGCCGCGUGAGUGAUGAAGGUCUUCGGAUCGUAAAACUCUGUUAUUAGGGAAGAACAAAUGUGUAAGUAACUGUGCACGUCUUGACGGUACCUAAUCAGAAAGCCACGGCUAACUACGUG